CAUGUCUGUAUCUUGACUGAAGCACAUGCAAAGCACGGCGUCGUCCAUCAUCAUGAAGCUGUCCUGGGCCUGAUAUUUCAGGUCCUACAAUUACAUCCGCAACAAGAAAUUGACCUCAAUAAAGCCAUCCACUGAUCCUGUUAUCAAGUACCGUCCAUCAGAAAACAUCAAGCAACGUCAGAGAAACAAAGGUCAUCAGUCGGCCUCUGCAAGUGGGGUGACCAUUACUCUUCAUCAGUUUUGGCACAGAGAAGACAUAAGGAGUAAUUGUGGCUCCAUCCAGAGGAAAAUGACUAAAGCACAGCAGAAGUGGGUUCUUCAGCUGCGUUGGAAAACUGUCUUUCUCCACAUGUUGCUCCUUCUUCCCCGAAGAGUCGACGAUCAUGUCGGCAGAGAUACAACCCGGAUUCUGCUGCCGUGUCAUGCACUGUAACAC